rnacentral:rRNA from 1 species
UACGUAGGGGGCAAGCGUUGUCCGGAAUUAUUGGGCGUAAAGAGCGUGUAGGCGGUCCGGUAAGUCAGCUGUGAAAGUCAAGGGCUCAACCCUUGAAAGCCGGUUGAUACUGUCGGGCUAGAGUCCGGAAGAGGCGAGUGGAAUUCCCGGUGUAGCGGUGAAAUGCGCAGAUAUCGGGAGGAACACCGAUGGCGAAGGCAGGUCUCUGGGCCACUACUGACGCUGAGAAGCGAAAGCAUGGGGAGCGAACAGG